rnacentral:rRNA from 1 species
ACUACGGGAGGCAGCAGUGAGGAAUAUUGGUCAAUGGGCGGGAGCCUGAACCAGCCAAGUCGCGUGAGGGAAGAAGGUACAGCGUAUCGUAAACCUCUUUUGUCAGGGAACAAAGGCGGGGACUAGUCCCCGGAUGAGGGUACCUGAAGAAAAAGCAUCGGCUAACUCCGUGCCAGCAGCCGCGGUAAUACGGAGGAUGCGAGCGUUAUCCGGAUUUAUUGGGUUUAAAGGGUGCGCAGGCGGCCUGUUAAGUCAGCGGUAAAAGCCCGGGGCUCAACCCCGGCGAGCCGUUGAUACUGGCGGGCUUGAGUUGGAGAGAGGUACGCGGAAUGCGUGGUGUAGCGGUGAAAUGCUUAGAUAUCGCGCAGAACCCCGAUUGCGAAGGCAGCGUACCGGCUCCACACUGACGCUGAGGCACGAAAGCGUGGGUAUCGAACAGGAUUAGAUACCCGUGUAGUC